rnacentral:tRNA from 1 species
GUGGCUGUAGCUCAAUGGCAGAGCACUUGACUGUGGAUCAAGGGGUUGCGGGUUCGAGCCCCGUCAGCCACCCCU